rnacentral:lncRNA from 1 species
GGGGGAACACAGACUGCAUAUUAUGUGGGGGGACAUGGGAAUCACAAGACCAUGUCUUCUUCAAAUGCAAGUUCUCCAAGGAUCUAUGGACAUAUUUUAAAUGCAAAACCCAGUUUGAUUACGUGUGCAGGUCUAUCUUUAGAACAGGUCAUGGCACAGGCAAAUGCAAGAACAAAGAACUCACCAUGCUGGGGCCUGACGUGGACGUACACGGCAGCGAUAGUAUGGGGAAUCUGGACCGAAAGGAACAGGAGAGUGCAUGAGGACAGACGCACGAGCCCACAGGAGAUAGGGAGGAGGACAGUACAGGAUGUAACAACGUCAUUCAAGGUGGACAAGUAUAAAACAAAAGGUACGAGAAGGGAACAGAGAUAGAUGGAUAUAUGGACCAGAGGUGCCCAGUUGGCGAGAACGUGAAACUUGUUUAAUUCUUCAUAUUUGAUAUUGAGUCUGUAAUCGUAGUUUAAUAGGAACUUGUAUUAAGGGAAACUAAAACUGAGGUAUAUGGUGG